rnacentral:rRNA from 1 species
UGGGGAAUAUUGCACAAUGGGGGAAACCCUGAUGCAGCGACGCCGCGUGAGUGAAGAAGUAUUUCGGUAUGUAAAGCCCUAUCGCAGGGAAGAAAAUGACGGUACCUGACUAAGAAGCCCCGGCUAACUACGUGCCAGCAGCCGCGGUAAUACGUAGGGGGCAAGCGUUAUCCGGAUUUACUGGGUGUAAAGGGAGCGUAGACGGCUGUGCAAGUCUGAUGUGAAAGGCAGGGGCUCAACUCCUGGACUGCAUUGGAAAUCUGUGUAGCUUGAGUGCCGGAGAGGUAAGCGGAAUUCCUAGUGUAGCGGUGAAAUGCGUAGAUAUUAGGAGGAACACCAGUGGCGAAGGCGGCUUACUGGACUGAAACUGACGCUGAGGCACGAAAGCGUGGGGAGCGAACAGGAUUAGAUACCC